rnacentral:rRNA from 1 species
GACGAACGCUGGCGGCGUGCUUAACACAUGCAAGUCGAACGGAAAGGCCCUGCUUGCAGGGUACUCGAGUGGCGAACGGGUGAGUAACACGUGGGUGAUCUGCCCUGCACUUCGGGAUAAGCCUGGGAAACUGGGUCUAAUACCGGAUAGGAGCCAUUUUUAGUGUGAUGGUUGGAAAGUUUUUUCGGUGUAGGAUGAGCUCGCGGCCUAUCAGCUUGUUGGUGGGGUAAUGGCCUACCAAGGCGGCGACGGGUAGCCGGCCUGAGAGGGUGGACGGCCACAUUGGGACUGAGAUACGGCCCAGACUCCUACGGGAGGCAGAAGUGGGGAAUAUUGCACAAUGGGCGCGAGCCUGAUGCAGCGACGCCGCGUGGGGGAUGACGGCCUUCGGGUUGGAAACUCCUUUCGCUAGGGACGAAGCUUUUUGUGACGGUACCUAGAUAAGAAGCACCGGCUAACUACGUG